rnacentral:rRNA from 1 species
UCCUACGGGAGGCAGCAGUGGGGAAUAUUGCACAAUGGGCGAAAGCCUGAUGCAGCAACGCCGCGUGAGUGAUGAAUGCCUUCGGGUCGUAAAACUCUGUCCUCAAGGAAGAUAAUGACGGUACUUGAGGAGGAAGCCCCGGCUAACUACGUGCCAGCAGCCGCGGUAAUACGUAGGGGGCUAGCGUUAUCCGGAUUUACUGGGCGUAAAGGGUGCGUAGGCGGUCUUUCAAGUCAGGAGUGAAAGGCUACGGCUCAACCGUAGUAAGCUCUUGAAACUGGGAGACUUGAGUGCAGGAGAGGAGAGUGGAAUUC